ensembl:lncRNA
CUUGCCAUGAUGCCCAGAGGUCCUUUUGCUCCAUGUUUGCUGACAGGAUUCUGUGACCCUCUCUCCCAUCCAACGUGCAGGUGGAACACGAACGGAGGAAACUGAAGCGAUGUUUUAGGGGUCAGUUACUGCCAGAUGCCUCUGGAUUUUCUCUCUCUGAGUCUGACCAGUGCAAGUUGCCCGCUUCUAGGCAGGAGGAGUCUCAUGCUCACUGCAGACAGCGCUUAGUUGAAUUACAGAACCAGGUGAGGAGUAGGAAAACUUUUAUCAAAGGUUGCUGUGCCUGUACUCAUGGCCACAGCUGUGCAUGCUGCUACAACCUGAGUUCUGUUCAGCUCUCAGGAAGUGAGUACAGCACGUGUUGUCAGUUGUGCACCUGUUGGCAGCAACCAAACAUCCUUUACCUUGGUCUUAUCUCUGACUUGUCUAAGAUCAGGCGGUGGGAGAGAGAGAUGGAAUGAAAUUCAGAACACCUGAAAAUAUCAGAAUCAUAGAAUCAUAAAAUGCUUAAGGUUGUAAAAGCCCUUUCAAAUAAUCUAAUCCAACUAUUAAGCCAGCAUGGGCAAUCCCAACACUAAACCAUGGCCUGAAGUGCCACAGCCACAUGUUUUCUUGAGUACUUCCAGGGACAGUGAUUCCACUACCUCCCUGGGUAUUCUGGACCGGGAUGUUCUCCUUUGUUGCCUGUUUCUAUUUUCCCUUGACUUUGUAACACUGGAGCUUGCAUUUUAGCAGAAAUGCAUGGACCUGAGGCAAUGCCAGAGGCUUAUUAUUCCAUUUGGCUUAGUUGUCCACAUUGUCCUCUACUCCUGUCUGGAAUGCUCUGAAGUUUAAGAGAGGGAGAGUUUGCUCCCUGUCCCUCAGCUGCCUGUCCCAGCAGCUCAAGUAGAAGAGUCCUCCAGGAACUCAAGGGAGCAGCAGCCCUCCUGCUGAUGCACAGCCUGUGGAGAAAGGGGUCAGUGGCCCAAAUGUGUGCUUUGGAAAUCAGAGUUGGGUUUCUAAAUCCCCUCAGAACUUUCUAAUUGACCUGUGGUGGCUGAGGGAUGUACGUGGGAAGGCUUUGCCAGCCUUGAGCUGGACUUGUUGAUCAUCUGAGCUCUCUUCUGUCUGGGAGCCUGUUCCUUUCCCCUUGCCCCAGGGCUGAGUGUUGGUGAGGGCUGGAGCUGGAGGCUGUGUCUGCCCCGGGAGCCGGUUCCGUGGGGCUGCAGGUGCUCCUGCCAGCGUGGGCUUGUCUGAGCCGGGCCUUGUGCCUCUUUCAGGUGUCCCUGCUGCAGGCACAGCUGGCCCAAGACCGACAGCACUGGCAGAACUACACUGAGAGCUGUGCAAGGACCAGCCAGGAGCUGUCAGACCUUCAUGAGGAGCUGUCCUGCUCCUUUGCCACUGUGCUCAAAGAGCCCAAAGCUGCUGUUCUGGAAGAAGAGGCUCGGAAGCUGGAUCGGUCUCUGAACCUGAACUCGGCACUGACAUCCCUGGGUCAUCAGUCUCUGGAGAGACAGCUAGAGUAUCCAAGAGCCAGACCUGCCAGAAGCAAUGAUGACCUAAGGUAACAGCAUAUCUCUGGUCUUCAUUUGAAUGGAAUGAUUUCUCCUAAGACAAAGAGCUCAUGGAUGUAGGAAAUGGGAUCAACUCCUCAGGGCAGGGCUACUCCCUGUCUUAAACAUCGGUUGGUUUCACAUUCAGCUGGUGUCAAACCUCACCUUAUGUUAAGGAUUAGGAUCUAUGAAACAUUAUUUCAUGAAGUAGGUGAUUUCUGGGACCAAAAUGUGAAUAUAUGAGAGCAACAACAUAGGUAAGGAGAGAGAAUGAUGUAUGGAGAAUGAAGCCUGAACAAAAAAUGAAUAAUACGUGAAAAGUAAGAUUUGUGGGUGACAUCUGUCCAAGAGCAGCUACUUAAAAUAAAAGGACACAAAGACGGCUCUACA